rnacentral:rRNA from 1 species
AUUGAACGCUGGCGGUAUGCUUAACACAUGCAAGUCGAACGAUGAGAAAGAGCUUGCUCUUUCGAUUAGUGGCGGACGGGUGCGUAACGCGUAGGAAUCUACCUAUUAGUGGGGGACAACUUAGGGAAACUUAAGCUAAUACCACAUACGCCCUACGGGGGAAAGGAGGGGAUCGCAAGACCUUUCGCUAAUAGAUGAGCCUGCGUAGGAUUAGCUAGUUGGUGGGGUAAAGGCUCACCAAGGCGACGAUCCUUAACUGGUUUGAGAGAAUGAUCAGUCACACUGGAACUGAGACACGGUCCAGACUCCUACGGGAGGCAGCAGUGGGGAAUAUUGGACAAUGGGCGAAAGCCUGAUCCAGCAAUACCGCGUGUGUGAAGAAGGCCUUAGGGUUGUAAAGCACUUUCAAUUGGAAGGAAAAAUUCGUGGCUAAUAUCCGCGAACUUGACAUUACCUUUAGAAGAAGCACCGGCUAACUCCGUGCCAGCAGCCGCGGUAA